rfam:Myotis davidii contig135464, whole genome shotgun sequence.
GAACUUACCUAGCAGGGGAGACACCAUGAUCACGAAGGUGGUUUUCCCGGGGCGAGGCUUAUCCAUUGCACUCCGGAUGUGCUGACCCCUGCAAUUUCCCUUAAUGUGGGAAACUGGACUGUGUAAUUUGUGGUAGUGGGGGACUGCAUUCGUGGAAAA